AUAAACAGUUAUUUGGAACCAAAACUCAGGAUGUCCUGGGAGAGGCUAGAUUAGGAAUCCUUUGAUUUGGUAGUCAUGAAAGUGAAGUAUCUAUAUUUUAACAGAAUGAUUAGUGGCAGAGGAAUCAUCUAAGAAAACUGAGAAGGCUCUGCCAGAGUGAUGGGAAGAGAACUAGAUGAGAAAGCACUGUUCUGGAAGACAUGCUCCUAUGAGCCAUGGAGAGAAGAGGAGAGGCAAGAAGCUAUUUGUGAUGUCAUUUGCCUGUGUCAUGGCCUGCCUUCCCUAGAUAUUGUCCUAAUGUGAGCAUCACACCUAAUAUACUGAAGUAGAGUGCUGACUGUUCCUUACGGACAUUUCUGAUGGUAAAUAAAUACAUAGAGAUCGCUCGUGCCUUUAACAGAACAAUACAUUGUAAGCACAGUUAUCUCAUUUUUAAACAAACAUGUAAUAAAUACCUUUGCUUUUAUUA